AAAAACAUCGCCUCUUGUAAGUAAUAAGAGGUCCAGCCUGCCCAGUGACAAAGUUCAACGGCCGCGGUACCCUAACCGAGCGAAGGUAGCAUAAUCACUUGUUCUUUAAAUAAGGACUAGUAUCAAUGGCAUCACGAGGGUCGUACUGUCUCCUUUUUCCAAUCAGUGAAACUGAUCUUCCCGUGAAAAAGCGGGAAUACACAUAUAAGACGAGAAGACCCCAUGGAGCUUUAAACCUACAGCAACUUAACUACAAAAUUCUUCAAAACCCCUAAAGAAAUGCCUGUUGGUUUUAGGUUGGGGUGACCACGGAGUAAAGACUAACCUCCGCAACGCAUAAACCUAAAUUUUUAUUUAAGAGCCACAACUCUAAAAAAUAGUACACUAACGUACACUGAUCCGAUAAUCGAUUAAUGAACCAAGUUACCCUGGGGAUAACAGCGCAAUCUAUUUAAAGAGUUCAUAUCGACAAAUAGGCUUACGACCUCGAUGUUGGAUCAGGGUAUCCCAGUGGUGCAGCCGCUACUGACGGUUCGUUUGUUCAACGAUUAAAACCCUACGUGAUCUGA
rnacentral:rRNA from 1 species